ACGGGCACUAACCAAUUAGCCAUCCUCUCCAAGGUCGAGGCCAUUUGUUUUUCGGAUAAGGUGGGAGAGGGAAAGCAGCACAACUUUCGUGUCGGAUUAUCCAUCGUACCAAUAAGGUCACGAUCAUACACGAAGGGAGUCGGGAAAUGACGUAUUUCCGGUUGUGUCCGAGCCCACCUUCCUUAAUCUGAGGAUUCACAGACUCGGUCAUUUCGUCCGUGACUAAUCGAUAAGUUGGAAGUGUCCGCGUUGGUUCGUUAAUGUUUCGUUGAUCUUAAAUAAUAGUAAGCUAAAGUGUGCGUUGUAAAUUGUGUGCGGUAUUAGCAGAAGAAUUUCUGAUAGCAAGCAAUUUCAUCGUGCCCCAACGCGACAAUUCCUCCCCGACGGACGAAACAUUCCUGGUGAUCGUCACCUGCCAGAAGCGGACCGAUCCGUCGCCAUAUCGGUCCGAGGGAAGGCCAGGGGACCUCCACGUGGACGAGAUCCA